CUGGCUCAGAACGAACGCUGGCGGCGCGUCUUAAACAUGCAAGUCGUACGGGAACCUCAGUGCUUGCAUUGAGGGGAGAGUGGCGAACGGGUGAGUAACACGUGGAUAAUCUGCCUUCAGGUUGGGGAUAACCCCGGGAAACCGGAGCUAAUACCGAAUAAUAUGGUUUUUACACAGGUAAGAAUCAUUAAAGGUGGGGACCUUAGGGCCUACUGCCUGGAGAUGAGUCCGCGGCCCAUUAGCUUGUUGGUGGGGUAAUGGCCUACCAAGGCUACGAUGGGUAGCCGGCCUGAGAGGGUGGACGGCCACAUUGGGACUGAGAUACGGCCCAGACUCCUACGGGAGGCAGCAGUUAAGAAUCUUGCGCAAUGGGCGAAAGCCUGACGCAGCGACGCCGCGUGGACGAUGAAGGCCUUCGGGUUGUAAAGUCUGGUAAACAGGGAAGAAUAAGCAAAGGGUAAUAUUCUUUGUGAUGACGGUACCUGUCUAAAGCCCCGGCUAACUACGUGCCAGCAGCCGCGGUAAUACGUAUGGGGCAAGCGUUGUUCGGAAUUAUUGGGCGUAAAGGGCGUCUAGGCGGGGGAUUAAGUUGGAUGUGAAAGCCUUAGGCUCAACCUGAGAAUUGCAUCCAAAACUGGUUCUCUUGAGUUCGGGAGAGGAGAGCGGAAUUCCCGGUGUAGCGGUGAAAUGCGUAGAUAUCGGGAAGAACACCAGUGGCGAAGGCGGNUCUCUGGCCUAGGACUGACGCUGAAGCGCGAAAGCGUGGGGAGCGAACGGGAUUAGAUACCCCGGUAGUCCACGCCGUAAACGUUGUGUACUAGGUGUUAGUGGUUUAACCACUAGUGCCGACGCUAACGCAU
rnacentral:rRNA from 1 species